UGACUAUCGCGCUGCAGCCCCGUCGGCCGCACAGCUACGCGGCAGGCUAUUGGCCCUCGCGGGAGGCGCGGGGAGAUGACAUAACGGGAACCAUUUUGGAUAUUAUUCAGUUUUGUGCGGUGCUUGGAAAGUACUUCGUCAAUUUCGAACUUCGAUGAUUUUUGACUGCCUUUGCUCAGAAGAGCUGUUGGAAAGGUAAGAAAAACAAAACAUUUUAGUAAAACCGUGGAUGAUUAUUAUUAAUGGGGCUUUUGGGGCUACGUCCUUAUACAAUAGAGGAUUAAGUUCGAUUGUUUUUUUCAAGGUCGUAAUACCGCAGUUCAGAAGAAAACCAACAGACCGUCCCAACCGAGAAGAUGCCUCCUCUUGAAGCGGAUAUACCAGUGGUACCCGUGGAAAAACAAGAUAUGGAAAGUAUUAAGCGUCGUAUAAUAGAGGAGAUUAAAGACCUGUGCUUAGUGAUGAGGAAAGUUAUGUCAGAGCACUUGGAAGGCUUCAGGGAGUUCGAGUUAACAAAAAUGUGUAAGCCGGAUUGGCCACCAAGUGAGACAACCAAAGUAAAUGCCAAACAAGAGGAUGUAGAGAAAAGGGGAGAUGAAAUCAAGACAAGAGGAGAAAAAGAGAAUUAGAAGGGGGAUCCAGGAGAAACAGCCUAUGCAUAAUAGAAAUACCUGAAACAGGACAGAGCAAAUGAAGCUGAAAUAAUAAAACUAACUAACUAACUGAGGAAACUUUUCCAGAGUUGAAGGUCUGCAAAUGGAAAAGGCUCACAGGGUACUUUUAAAAAUUUAAUGAAAAGGAAGCAACGCCUAGACAUAUUCUGGUGACUUUUUAAAAUUUCGAGGAUAAAGAAAAACUUACAGAUAUCCAGACAAAGAAAGCAGGUUACCGAGAGAGCUGCAAAACUCAGGCUGCCCUUAAGGUUUUUCUUGUGCAGUUCUAAAUGGCGGAAGACAAUGGAACGGUAUCAACAAAGUUUUGUGGGUAAAUCAUUUUGAACCUGGAAUUAUAUACCCUGCCAAGUUAUUUAUUUAUUUUUUUUUCUGUUUGCAGGCAAUUGGAAGAUAGAUAUGCAGAGGUUAAGAAAAUAUAUAUCAACUAAGAACCUGCUCUGAAAAUCUUGCUGAUUUACUGCAGCCGGUAGAGAAUGCGAAUUAAAAUAAGUAGGGAGGCAAUUGUAUGAAAGAAUUAAUGGUAAGCAUUAAAACUAGUUAAAGAGCAUUGCAUUUCCUUUGUUACAUGUAAGGUAAUAAAGGUAAAUAUAAAAAUAGAUUUGUAAGCAGCAUGUAAAAUUUUUAACUUUAUAGUUUUAAGCUGCCAAAAGGCAAGCCAAAUACUCAAAUGUAUUGGUCAAAUAUUGUUUUAUUUUUGCCAUGUAGUAUUGUAGCUAAAAACACAUGUUGUUAAGAAAGAAAAGGGCUUUGUCACUGUGGAAAGGACAUGUACAAUAAAAUCUGACAAAAGUUGGAAAAUGGCAGUUUUAUUUCCCUAUAUGUUUAAUUAUAGAGUGAAAAACAAAAACUGACAAGUUUGUCCUUAUGUAUCAGUAUCAUUAAUAUUGAUAAUGUAGGAAAAAAUAUUCCAAACCACUGGUGGGGAAGGCUAGAUAAAACCUUGUUUGAUAUACUGGAUUGGGAAAAACAAUAGUUACUCUGUCAUACAGUGGUUGAUGUAAGUUAAUUUGUCAUGAAAUUAUGGACAAAAAUAUAAUAUAUACAUUCCAAGUCAGUCUAUCUUAUGCAUCAGCGUUGCCUGAAAACUUACUAGAAGUGUGGUAUGCUAGGUCAAUAGCAUCAUGGUAUUAGAUUAUGAAAUACUAGCUAAACAUCUUCAAGACUUUUCCCUUAACACAGUGCAGCAUACAUUACAGAUACUCCAUAAAUGUUAAUCGCUAUUGGUAUUAACUAGAAACAGUUUUGCUUAAAUAGUAGUAUUGUAGAAGAGAUUCUAAAAUUUUAAUCUAUAUUUGAAUUAAAGAUUUGGUCACAUUUCCCAAAUAUUCCAGUUGUUAACUUUUGGGUAGACUUAAUUCAAUCCAUGUCCUGAUAUUUCCUAGGUCUCUGGAUAAAACCAAAGAUCUAUCUAUAAAAGUAACCAAAGACCUGAAGUAAUCAUCUAAUUGGUGACAUAGAUAAAUAGAAGUAUUGGCAAUAAUUGCAACAGUAGCUCUAGUAAGUUAUGAGCCUUUUUAAAUUCUCCAAUGAUGAUCUCUGAAGGUGAUACCACCAUUGUAUUAGUAAGCAUGGACUAACCCAGUGGUUUUUAAACUUGAGUGUGCCCACCAAUUGCCUAAAGAUUAUAUUAAGAUGCAGAUAUUGAUUCAUUUUGUUUGGAUUAAGAUUUUUCUUCUAAACUCCUGUGUGUUGCUAAUGCUGUCUUCAGAGUUCCACACUUUGAAGUAAAACAAUAUAAAACCUGUACUUACAUCUAUUGACCAUGAAAACGAAGCUCAAAGCGGUAAUUGGCUUAAGUCAUGUGGUAAAUAUCAAAACCAAUUCUGAUUCCAAGACUAAUUUCUUUCUCAUAAUUUCUUCCUUUCAUCCAUCCUACAGCAUCUUUUCAAAAGAUUGUUGUAAAAAUAAGUGAUAUAAUUAUUAAUCUGUUUGAGAAGGAAGAGAGCUCACUACUUCAGACAAGUUAUACUGAAAAUGGUGUUUCAUAAAGAGGAGAAAAUGAGUUUUGUUUGGAACAUGUUAAGCAGGCUUUGUGAGAGUGACAUAUAUAAACAGAUCAGACAGGUAUUUGCAAAUUAAUUUCGAAUUUCACUUUAUUAUUGACUAAUACAAUUUCAGUGUUAAGAAAAAACAAAAGGAAAUAAGAAAAGGAAAGGAGAUUGAACUUUUAAGGAACACCUGUAUAUAAUGGGUAGUCAUAUUUAGAUUUGCACUUCAAAUUGAAUUAAAUAUUGAAAAUAAUGCAUGGUAGUCAGUGCUAUACACGAGUAAUCAGAAGUAUGGGGAGAUUGUGUUAGAUUUGUUUUUUAAUUUAUAAUUUGUGACCUAUUUUUAAAAACCUAUAAUGACAUACCCAUUUUUCCUUUAUAUGAUUCAAAGUAGUUCACUACUUCGUAUCUGUGUGUAGUUGAUAUCAGUGGUAAUGUUCUAUAAAAACACUCAAAAAUAUAUUUAGUUCCUGGAUGCAGUGGUGCGCACCUAUACUCAUAACAGCUCAGGAAGUCGAGGCAGGAGGAUCCCAAGGCCAACCUGCACAAUUUAGUAACAACCUGUCUCAAAAAUAAUGUAGCUCAGUGGUACAAUACCCUGGGUUCAAUCCCCAGCAUGGGGUUGGCAGGAUGAGGGAGUGGAGAAUUAUGAAAUUAUUGACUCCUGAAUCAUGGCAACUGGAAGAAAUACAGAAUUGGAUUCCUGGGAGCCUCCUCAUAUGAUUUUUGUCAACCAAUCAAUACCUUGUUUCAAGAGAACCUUAAAUAUGUUUUUGAUUCAUUAACCUUGAACUCAGAUCCAACGUUGUAACUUAGUCCAUAACAGUUUUUCUAACAAAUUAUUAAGGUAUAUCAUAGCCACUUUUGUGCUUAGGGGCAACUAGAUAACACUGUGCUUGAAGGAGACAUUUUAAACAGCAAAAUCGCAAAAAAAAUAAUAUAUAUAAUUUUUUUUUUUUUUUAAAGAGAGUGAGAAUUUUUUAAUAUUAAUUUUCUAGUUUUCAGCGGACACAACAUCUUUGUUUGAUCUUUGUUUGUAUGUGGUGCUGAGGAUCGAACCCGGGCCGCACGCAUGCCAGGCGAGCGCGCUACCGCUUGAGCCACAUCCCCAGCCCCUAUAUAUUAUUGACUAAUACAAUUUCAGUGUUUGGGGCUGGGGUUAUGGCUCAGUGGUAGAGUGCUUGCCUUGUACGUGUGAGGCACUGGGUUCGAUCCUCAGCACCACAUAAAAAAAUAAACAAAAUGAAGGUAUUAAAAAAUCUACCAAGUUAAAAAAUAUUUAAAAAAAAACAAUUUCAGUGUUAAGAGACCAAGUUUGCUUUUUAUCCUGUUAGAUUUCUUGAGCUAAAUACACUUCUUGAAAUACCAUAGGUAAUAAAUAUGUUUACAAUCCAUAAACAAAAUAAUUGUAAAUAAGGAGAAUAGAAACUGCUUUAACAUUUUUUUAAAAAGUAUGUGCACUAAAUAUAAUAAAUGGAAUGAUUCUCUUUUCUGAAAUAUUAAUUUGGAAGUAGAAAUGUACCUUAUUUCCACUUUUCCAGUGAAAUGUCAACCAAAUAAUCGAAUCCCAGAGUCAUCACAGCCUUGGGUUUAGACUUUUCAAAAUUUGGAUUUUAAAAAAUUCUCCGUACGCUACUGAUGAGGAAGGUAUUUCCAAAAGAAACAACUUACUCCUGACUCUUUGUUUAUUAGUGUUGUCUUUUAUUUGCAGUACUGGGGAUUGAACCCAGGGAUGUUCUACCACUGAGCCACAUCCUAAGCCCUUUUUAUUUUUUGAGACAGGAUCUCACUAAGUUUCUGAGGCCGUUCUCAAACUUGAGAUCUUAUUGCCUCAGCCUCCCAAAUUGUUGGGAUUACAUACAAGCAGCACUAUACCUAGUAAUAGUGUUACCUUGAACAGGGAUUAGCAAUCUCCCAUGCCACAGGAGAUAGAGAAUAUAGCUUUGUGACACCCUUGCCACCAAGAGAUGCAGUGUGAUGCAUUAUUUAAAGCAGAUGUUGGUAGAUUCCUGGUCCCGAUAUCUUGUGAAGAGAAAAAUGAGUGGCAAAUGAAAACAGGUCAUUAGCUUCAGGUGAGUCUGCUAAAGAUAGAUAAUUCCUUAUCAAUACCUGAGUGUCCACCCUAGUCAAAAUUUAAGAAGAGGUGGGUUUUGUCUUCAGUAUCCUCUCUCCUCCCCUUUAUUGUCCCUGUCCUGCCUUCCCACACUCUUUCCCACAUGCUGCAGGCAAAUAAAGUGUGUGCCCUAUUUUUUUUUUUUUUAAAGAGAGAACUCGAGAGAGGAUUUUAAUAUUUAUUUUUUAGUUUUCAGCGGACACAACAUCUUUGUUUGUAUGUGGUUCUGAGGAUCAAACCCAGGCCACAUGCAUGCCAGGGAAGUGCGCUACUGCUGGAGCCACAUCCCCAGCCCCAUGUGUGCCCUAUUCAUCCAAAGGUGUUCUCUUUACUUACACUAAGCAAAUCCCAUGUAUCCCAGUUGUGUAUAUCUUCCUACUCAAAAAGAGAAAAAAAAAAAAAAAGAAAGAAAGAGAAAAGGAUGCUCCUGGAGAUUCUAGUUAGCUGUGGUGAUCUGAGUUGGUGAAAAGAUUAGACCUAUUUAGGACAGAAUGAAUGACCAUAGCUAAUAAAUGUAGUGUAAGCUUUUCUGUAACUUUAUAUUUUAAGAAUGAUUGUUUCUGAAUGUACCUGAAUUUGGUAAAAUUUUGAGAAUUCAAGUGAACAAUUUUACAAAUGUAAGAUAAAUUAUAAAUUUGGGUGGUGGGCAUCUCACACCCCUUCUUAACACAUGCUCUUUCAUCCAUGCUAAAAUAGAGGUAAAAGUACUGACAAUGAUACCUUAAAAUUUUGAUAAUCUGUGAAAAAUAAAUCCUAAUAAACAUUUUAAAAAUAAAUCCUUUUC
rnacentral:lncRNA from 1 species